UAGAAACUUGGGGAGGGGUCUCAUGACUUCCUCCCUGGUAAAUUUUGUUUAUUUCCUUCAUCCUUCCUGCCAAGUCCAUGAACUGACCUGGGAGGGGGGGGAAUCCAGGCCCUGUCCCUAACUGCAGGCCUUGGUCAGGUGUUCCUUAUCAGCCAAAUGUUUUGGGGCUCUCAGGUGCUUGUGGCCACUUGUCAAUUUUAAGUUCUCGUUGGUGGAGCAGUGAGUGUCCCACCAGCUGCUGGAUUGUCCUUGUGAGCACUGAACUUCUGUGGAGAGACUCCAGCAACUGAGUCCUCCCUAUUCCCGAAUGUGCUCACCAGACUUUUGCUAAUGUAAAAUUACAUCUUGUGAAUCUUUCCUGCAUAAUUUACUUCCAGACUGAAUACGCUACAAUUGAGCUGGAGUCCAAAGUUAGUUGGAGGCAUCUAGUGGUGGGGAAAGUUAGGGGUGCUCCUGGCCACUUCUGGCCAUUGGAGGAGAAUCUUCUGGGGAGAAUUCUGAGCAGGGAGGAAGACUGAGUGCUCAGGAAACUGCCCUGCCACUUGCUGGCUUGCUGGAACCUGGCCUGUUUGCUAACACUUCUGAGGGUAGAACAGCUUGCUGCAGACCUACACCCCUGCAAGUGGACCCAGCUAGGGCUGUGGUGCCUGGGCAUAGCCAUAGCAAGAAUAAAAUCCUUUAGGUGGGAGAAAGUCCUGGGCCAUUCUUUCUAGUGCUUUGCUCACACCCCUAAGACUGUGGUUUCCAGGCAACUUUACAACAGGUGACCCAGGAGACCGCUCAUACUGCUCUUUAAGUACUGUGUGAAAUGUGGGCUGUCACAGGCUCUUUCAUCUCUGCUAGCUGUGUAUUGUCCACUGUCAGCUCAGCCUGUCCAAAUCACCAGCCUGGCAAACCUCCGUUCCCCAUUAUGGUGCUUUGUCUGUCUGUCAGGGCUUCUAGAUGCCCACAGCAGGGAUGGGCCCCAGCUUCCUCGAGUAGAGAUGGGAUUUACUGGAAAGCUACUGAGCAGCUGUGGCUUCUUCAGGGAGGGCAGGAUGAUGGGCAGCUAGGAAUUAUCCCCAGAAACUCAGGCACUAGAGUCUGGCUGCUCAGCCUGCUGCCACCCGCUCUCUGCCAUGGCCCCUGCCUUCAAUUCUGCAGGAGGUGUACUGAUUCUCUUAGCAGGGAAGGCUGUGACUGUGGGGGCAUUGAGCCCCUUCUUCCCUGGCACCUGUGAUGAUGCCCCACCCACAACAUGUUCCUCUUCUGGGUUGUUGUGAUGUGUGCCGUGGCAGUUUAAAUAUGCUGUAUUCUGAAUUCUGGAGUCUGGAGUCCAAGAUACAGGUGUUUAGUCAGGUUGUUUUCUCUCUCCUUGUGUGUAGAUGCCAACUUUUCCCUGUCCCCACGCCUACUUGUGUCUGUCUGUGUGUCUGUCCAUCUAUUCUGAUCUCUUUUUAUUGAAUUAAGACCUAUCCUAACCAUUACCAACUCCUUAAAGGGUCUGUUCCCAAACACAGCUGCACUCUGAGGCUCAGGGAUCAGGGCUUCAGUAGAUGACUUUGAAAACACAAUUGUGUAACUGCUUCGGUCCUUCCAGUCUCAGUGCAGCUGUCACAGUAAAAGCAGAGGCUAGGACAGAACAGAAUGUUAGGGUUAAAACAGUGAUGUUUGCAACAGAGAAGCUUGCAGCUGAGUGAGAGAUGGAGAACUAAGAUGAGCAGAGAUGAGCAGCACCAGGGCUCUGGGCCAGCAUUGCUGCCUCUACUGAAGCUCCUUCCCUCAAGGAGAGGUGGAGAGGCACCCCUCAAUUCUAAUACAGCUGAUUGCAACAAACUAAAUUAUGGAUAAGUUUGCCUUCUAAAAUGCUGCCAUUUAUUUCAGGAAAGAGACCAUCCCUGAGCCCCCUGUAGACAAGGGGCUGGACGGGGUAACUAGGAACUACCAUAGCUACAUAUUAUGCCAGGGUUAGCUCUAUGGUGUAGGGAGCCGUCCCUGCAUUCUCCAUUACAAUGAUGGCGCCUGCAGGCACUGAAUGUAAAUUAUUGCGCAGGUGCUGGGUAAUUUUCCAUUUCCUUGAUCUCUGCCUAUUCCGUGACGUCAUAUGGCCUGAUGAGCUGAAGCCAAUCAUAGGGUGACACGUCCCAGGCGGCGGCUGCCAGCCUUUAUUAGGGGACGGGAUUCUUGGCUCGGGGUCUCCGCUCUGGUAAGCUUAUGCUCUCCUCUCAAGAUGCAUUAAAGCUUUACUGCAGAAGGAUCCGAGUGUCCUGUGUGGUCCUUGCUGGCGAGGCGAUUGCUCGGGACAUCUGGUGCCGAAACCCGGGAACUUGUUAACAUCGCCGGCACUGCGGAUACCCCUCUAAUGGGGCGGAUUCAGAACUGCAGGGUGGAUGAAGAGAAUCCCCUGUGGACCCGAAAAGACUCACCCAAAGAGCCCCUUCGGACCCUCAAAAGUCGGAACUCCACCCUCUCCCCGGGAGUUGAGAGCCGCUAUUAUCCAGAUUAACUCCUGUCCUUGACGGAGAGAUUGUCAUCAUAGAUAGCUUCAGCUGUCUCCUAUUUUAAGGAAAGGGUGGGGAUGGGAUUGUUUGGUGCAGCCAUUUGCUGUGGAUUGAUGUUGCUUCUCUGGCUGGUCUGUAGGCUCAGGGCUCAAACUAAGAG
ensembl:lncRNA